rnacentral:rRNA from 1 species
GUUAUAUGGUCAAGCGAAUAAGCGCACACGGUGGAUGCCUUGGCGGUCAGAGGCGAUGAAGGACGUGGCAGCCUGCGAAAAGUAUCGGGGAGCUGGCAACAAGCUUUGAUCCGGUAAUGUCCGAAUGGGGAAACCCACCCGCUUGCGGGUAUCCUGCAGUGAAUACAUAGCUGCUGGAAGCGAACCUGGUGAACUGAAAUAUCUAAGUAACCAGAGGAAAAGAAAUCAACCGAGAUUCCCUGAGUAGCGACGAGCGAACGGGGACUAGCCCUUAAGCUGGAAUGGUUCUAGAAAAACAGCCUGGAACGGCUGGCCAUAGAAGGUGAUAGCCCUGUAUUUAAAAGGGCCACUCCAGUGAAGACGAGUAGGGCGGGGCACGUGAAACCCUGUCUGAACAUGGGGGGACCAUCCUCCAAGGCUAAAUACUACUGACCGACCGAUAGUGAACCAGUACCGUGAGGGAAAGGCGAAAAGAACCCCGGAGAGGGGAGUGAAAUAGAUCCUGAAACCGUGUGCGUACAAGCAGUAGGAGCUCGAAAGAGUGACUGCGUACCUUUUGUAUAAUGGGUCAGCGACUUACUGUUCGUGGCAAGCUUAACCGUAUAGGGGAGGCGAAGGGAAACCGAGUCUGAUAAGGGCGCAUAGUCGCGGGCAGUAGACCCGAAACCGGGUGAUCUAGUCAUGGCCAGGGUGAAGGUGCCGUAACAGGUACUGGAGGCCCGAACCCACGUCUGUUGCAAAAGACGGGGAUGAGCUGUGAUUAGGAGUGAAAAGCUAAUCGAACCCGGAGAUAGCUGGUUCUCCUCGAAAGCUAUUUAGGUAGCGCCUCAUAUGUAUCCUCUCGGGGGUAGAGCACUGUUAUGGCUAGGGGGUCAUCGCGACUUACCAAACCAUUGCAAACUCCGAAUACCGAGACGGACUGUAUGGGAGACACACGGCGGGUGCUAACGUCCGUCGUGAAAAGGGAAACAACCCAGACCCACAGCUAAGGUCCCAAAUUCACUGCUAAGUGGAAAACCAUGUGGAAAGGCACAGACAGCCAGGAGGUUGGCUUAGAAGCAGCCACCCUUUAAAGAAAGCGUAAUAGCUCACUGGUCGAGUCGGUCUGCGGGGAAGAUUUAACGGGGCUAAGCAGUGAACCGAAGCUUGGGGUGUGCAUAUUUAUAUGUACGCGGUAGAGGAGCGUUCCGUAAGCCGUUGAAGGUGGAUUGAGAAGUCUGCUGGAGGUAUCGGAAGUGCGAAUGCUGACAUGAGUAACGAUAAUGCGGGUGAAAAACCCGCACGCCGAAAGCCCAAGGUUUCCUUGCGCAACGUUAAUCGGCGCAGGGUGAGUCGGCCCCUAAGGCGAGGACGAAAGUCGUAGUCGAUGGGAAGCAGGUUAAUAUUCCUGCACCUCGCGUAAGUGCGAUGGAGGGACGGAGAAGGUUAGGUGUACCCGGCGUUGGUUGUCCGGGGGAAAGGCGGUAGGUUUGGAUCUUUGGCAAAUCCGGGAUCCUUUAAGACCGAGC